GCCCGGUUAGCUCAAUCGGUAGAGCGUCAGACUCUUAACAACGGGGUUCCCACCCUAGUUGCUCUAGAAAUCUGAAGGCUGCGGGUUCGACCCCCGCAUUGGGCU